UACGUAGGGUGCAAGCGUUGUCCGGAAUUAUUGGGCGUAAAGAGCUCGUAGGCGGUUUGUCGCGUCUGCUGUGAAAACCUAAGGCUCAACCUUGGGCUUGCAGUGGGUACGGGCAGACUAGAGUGCGGUAGGGGUGACUGGAAUUCCUGGUGUAGCGGUGGAAUGCGCAGAUAUCAGGAAGAACACCCGUGGCGGAAGGCGGCUCUCUGGGACGGUACUGGACGCU
rnacentral:rRNA from 1 species